UGGGGAAUCUUCCGCAAUGGACGAAAGUCUGACGGAGCAACGCCGCGUGAGUGAUGACGGCCUUCGGGUUGUAAAGCUCUGUUAAUCGGGACGAAUGGUUCUUGUGCGAAUAUUGCGAGGAUUUGACGGUACCGGAAUAGAAAGCCACGCCUAACUACGUGCAAACAGCCGCGGUAAUACGUAGGUGGCAAGCGUUUUCCGGAAUUAUUGGGCGUAAAGCGCGCGCAGGCGGAUUGGUCAGUCUGUCUUAAAAGUUCGGGGCUUAACCCCGUGAUGGGAUGGAAACUGCCAAUCUAGAGUAUAGGAGAGGAAAGUGGAAUUCCUAGUGUAGCGGUGAGAUGCGUAGAUAUUAGGAAGAACACCAGUGGCGAAGGCGACUUUCUGGACGAAAACUGACGCUGAGGCGCGAAAGCCAGGGGAGCGAACGGG
rnacentral:rRNA from 1 species